rnacentral:rRNA from 1 species
UGAGGAAUAUUGGUCAAUGGACGCAAGUCUGAACCAGCCAAGUAGCGUGCAGGAUGACGGCCCUAUGGGUUGUAAACUGCUUUUAUAUGGGGAUAAAGUGGGGAACGUGUUCCCUUUUGCAGGUACCAUAUGAAUAAGGACCGGCUAAUUCCGUGCCAGCAGCCGCGGUAAUACGGAAGGUUCGGGCGUUAUCCGGAUUUAUUGGGUUUAAAGGGAGCGUAGGCCGUUUGGUAAGCGUGUUGUGAAAUGUAGGAGCUCAACUUCUAGAUUGCAGCGCGAACUGUCAGACUUGAGUGCGCACAACGUAGGCGGAAUUCAUGGUGUAGCGGUGAAAUGCUUAGAUAUCAUGAAGAAAUCCGAUUGCGAAGGCAGCUUACGGGAGCGCAACUGACGCUGAAGCUCGAAGGUGCGGGUAUCGAACAGG